UACGUAGGGUGCGAGCGUUUGUCCGGAAUUACUGGGCGUAAAGAGCUCGUAGGUGGUUUGUCGCGUUGUUCGUGAAAACUCACAGCUUAACUGUGGGCGUGCGGGCGAUACGGGGCAGACUGGAGUACUGCAGGGGAGACUGGAAUUCCUGGUGUAGCGGUGGAAUGCGCAGAUAUCAGGAGGAACACCGGUGGCGAAGGCGGGUCUCUGGGCAGUGAACUGACGCUGAGGAGCGAAAGCGUGGGGAGCGAACAGG
rnacentral:rRNA from 1 species